rnacentral:tRNA from 1 species
GCCUAGCUGGCUUAGUCAGUGAAGCUUGAGACUCAUAAUCUCGGGGUUGUGAGUAUGAGUCCCAUUCUGGGUG